UUAUUUGUGGCUAACCCCUCUGUCUUUCCUGACUAAAUUACCCACACUAAAGACUUCAAAGGCUCUUUGUUUUACUGUGUGAUGUCUUUGUUGCAUUCCAGGUGACAUACAUAGAAAUACACAAGUUAAAUCAAAAGAAAAAUAAAAAUAUAUAAAAACCCACCCAAUGUCUAAGAAAGUAAAUAAGAAAGAGUAAAAUAUAAAUUUUUCUACAACACGGUCUUUCUUUCGGCGGAGACAAAGUCAUAGCACGUAACAGGGCAGUAAAAUCAGCAGUGUAAUAUUUGCAGUGUUAAAAGUUAUUAAAUCCCAAAGAUUUGAAUUAACAAUCCACAGUGUUAAACAGUACUCGUGUUCAGUGUUGUUAUAUGGUGUAAUUUCACUUUUACACUACAAGUGCGAAAUAAAAGACCCGCCGAAUUGUCUGGACUCCGCCCUUCAGUGACUGCUGCUUCGCGAAGCGACAACGCCAUCUUUUCUUCGAGCGACCGAGACGUUGGUCGUCCUCUCGCCUCUGUUCCCUCCUCGGCCUGGGGUUACUGCGAAUCUGGCGAUGAAGACUGAAGCUGCUAACGUUAUAUUCGAAGCCUCAGAAGACCUUCAAGGAUCCAGCUGACCUCUGAAUCAGCUGUUAAGAAAAUGGGACAGUUAUAUUGCUUCAAUUGGUCUCCUACUUCAUUUGAUUCCACCAUCAUUACAAGGCUGCAAGGGAUCUGGAAAAAUGUCAUCCUGUCAAGCUGAAAAACAUCUUCAGAAAGGCACCAACAAGAACAGCUUGAUUGCAGAGAAGAGACCACACAGCCAUACACGCUCACUGAUGGGACAUCAUUCAUGGAUGCUACACAACUCAAAUCUACACGUCAUAUUUGUUCAUGUCUAGGUAAAUUUGAUGAUUUUGUGUUUUAUUAACUACUUUGUUUCUGUGCAACACUUAAUGAAUGUGACUGACUAAUUAACCUCUACACAUCUGCUAUAUGCUUUAAAGUUGCCACUUUGCCCAUUUGUUCAAUAAAUGUUGAAAUGUA